CUGAAGUGAAAGCCAAGUGCUGCUGGGCUGUCCAUGAAUCUACUUGGAUGGCUGUCCAGUAUCUGACUGAAUCAGGCCUGUAAUCCCAGCUAUUCAGGAAGCCAAGGCAGAACAACAGGUUUAAGUGUUUGAGCCCAGACUCAAGGCUAGUCUGGCAGCCCAGCAGAACCUAGUCUUCUUUAUCCUGAGAAGCAGCCAAGCAUGGUGGCUGGGCCUGUCAUCCAGCUCUGCUCCCAACCAGAAGCCCUGAGUUUGGAUCCCAGCAACCACAUGGUGGCUCACAAUGACCCAUAACGAGAUCUGAUGGCCUCUUCCGGUAUGUCUGAAGACAGCUACAGAGUAUUACUCUGGAGCAAGCAAGACCAGAUUGAGCUGGGACGGAUGGAGCUAGGCCGGAGCAAGCUGGGCAGGAGCAAGCUGGGCAGGAGCCCACGGCCAUCUGUACAGCCACAGUGUACUCAUACACAUAAAAAUAAAUAAAAUAAAUAAAUCUUUUAAAAAAAGAGAGAAAAUGGAGA